rnacentral:rRNA from 1 species
CAAUAGCGUAUAUUAAAGCUGUUGCGGUUAAAAAGCUCGUAGUUGGAUUUCUGUCAAGGACAACUGGUCCGCCCUUCGGGUGAGCACAUAGUUUGGUCUUGGCAUCUUGUUGGAAACUGUUGCUGCACUUGGUUGUGUGGCGCAGCGUCCAGCACUUUCACUUUGAGGAAAUUGGAGUGUUUCAAGCAGGCACAUGCCUUUGGACACAGUAGCAUGGAAUAAUUAGAUUGGGCUUUUGCUCCAACUCGUCGGUUUCUGGAGCUGAGGUGAGAAUUAAUGGGGAUUGUUGGGGGCAUCCGAAUUUAGCCGUCAGAGGUGAAAUUCUUGGAUCUGCUAAAGACGGACAACUGCGAAAGCGUUUGCCCAGGAUGUUUUCAUUGA